AGAGUUUGAUCCUGGCUCAGGAUAAACGCUGGCGGCGCACAUAAGACAUGCAAGUCGAACGAACUUAAUACCUAGCUUGCUAGGUAAGCGGUUAGUGGCGGACUGGUGAGUAACACGUAAGGAACCUGCCUAUUAGAGAGGAAUACCUUUGAGAAAUCAGAGCUAAUACCUCAUAUGCCUUAAUCAUUGCAUGAUGAAAGAGGGAAAGGAGUAAUCCGCUAAUAGAUGGCCUUGCGGCUGAUUAACUAGUUGGUGAGAUAAUAGCCCACCAAGGUAACGAUCAGUAGCCGGACUGAGAGGUUGAACGGCCACAUUGGGACUGAGAUACGGCCCAGACUCCUACGGGAGGCAGCAGUCGGGAAUAUUGCGCAAUGGAGGAAACUCUGAUGCAGUGACGCCGCGUAUAGGAAGAAGGUUUUCGGAUUGUAAACUAUUGUCGAUAGGGAAGAAGGAAGACAGUACCUAUCAAGAAAGCUCCGGGCUAACUACGUGCCAGCAGCCGCGGUAAUACGUAGGGAGCAAGCGUUAUCCGGGAAUUAUUGGGUGUAAAGGGUGCGUAGACGGGAAGACAAGUUAGUUGUGAAAUACCUCGGCUCAACUGAGGAACUGCAACUAAAACUAUCAUUCUUGAGUGCGGGAGAGGAAAGUGGAACUCCUAGUGUAGCGGUGAAAUGCGUAGAUAUUAGGAAGAAUACCGGUGGCGAAGGCGACUUUUCUGGACUGUAACUGACGUUGAGGCACGAAAGUGGUGGGGAGCAAACAGGAUUAGAUACCCUGGUAGUCCACACUGUAAACGAUGG
rnacentral:rRNA from 1 species